AUUCGUGACUGUUAGUCCUCUCGCGACUCCUAUUCAGUAACCCAACUCCUUCAUCAUCGGGUGAAGUAUUUGAUUUGGUAUGUAAAUUGGUAAAUCUUAGAUUCUCCGCAGUAGUAAUAGUAGAUGUAUCAGUUGUAAAUUUUCUGAGUUUCAGGUCUCGCCUAGUUUUUCUGGCAGACCGAAGUAUUUGUGUAGAAUGUAGCUAUUAAGAUAAUUUGUGGUUUUAAUAAUAUUAAUUUGAGAUGAGAUUUGUUUAAA
rnacentral:lncRNA from 1 species